AAUGAACGUUGGCGGCGUGGAUUAGGCAUGCAAGUCGUGCGACAAGUCUCUUUUAGCUUGCUAUUAGAGAUGGAGGAGCGGCGAAAGGGUGAGUAACGCGUGGAUACCUGCCUCUAGGCCCGGGAUAGCGUCGGGAAACUGGCGGUAAUACCGGAUAAUAUCUCCGGAUCAAAGGUGUGAUUCCGUCUAGAGAUGGGUCCGCGUCCUAUUAGCUUGUUGGUGGGGUAAUGGCCUACCAAGGCAAAGAUGGGUAUCGGGUGUGAGAGCAUGGCCCGACACACUGGGACUGAGACACUGCCCAGACACCUACGGGUGGCUGCAGUCGAGAAUCUUCCGCAAUGGGCGCAAGCCUGACGGAGCGACGCCGCGUGCGGGAUGAAGGCCUUCGGGUUGUAAACCGCUGUCAGUGGGGAGCAAAUCUCUGGGAGCAAUCUUUCAGAGUUGAGCGAUCCGCAGAGGAAGCGUAGGCUAAGUUCGUGCCAGCCGCCGCAGUAAAAC
rnacentral:rRNA from 1 species